ACUCCAAACCCCUGUGACAUACCUUAUGUUGCCUCGGCGGAUCAGCCCGCGCCCCGUAAAAAGGGACGGCCCGCCGCAGGAACCCUAAACUCUGUUUUUAGUGGAACUUCUGAGUAUAAAAAACAAAUAAAUCAAAACUUUCAACAACGGAUCUCUUGGUUCUGGCAUCGAUGAAGAACGCAGCAAAAUGCGAUAAGUAAUGUGAAUUGCAGAAUUCAGUGAAUCAUCGAAUCUUUGAACGCACAUUGCGCCCGCCAGUAUUCUGGCGGGCAUGCCUGUUCGAGCGUCAUUUCAACCCUCAAGCCCAGCUUGGUGUUGGGAGCUGCAGUCCUGCUGCACUCCCCAAAUACAUUGGCGGUCACGUCGAGCUUCCAUAGCGUAGUAAUUUACACAUCGUUACUGGUAAUCGUCGCGGCCACGCCGUUAAACCCCAACUUCUGAAUGUUGACCUCGGAUCAGGUAGGAAUACCCGCUGAACUUAAGCAUAUCAAUAAGCGGGGGAAAA
rnacentral:rRNA from 1 species